GAUUUAGGGAGUAAUUUGAUCAUUGGCUGUGGCUUGCAAAAGCCGUGUAGAAACCAAAAAUUAAAAAAUUGAGGAAAAACACAAAAGUCACACAAAAUACGCCUUCAGCAGGUCAGUGUAGAUUAAUAAGGACGCCAAGAUGUUACCCAUUAUUGUGGAACUUAACCACCCAGAAGCAAUACCACAGCAGGUUUAGUCCAAGUAAUAUUGGCAAUCCUGGAGAUAAUCCAAUCGAGAAGCCCAUUAUAAGCAGCAUGGGGCAUCGCUCUCUACAUGGACAUACUGCUGAGCUAGUCUACGCAAGGAAAAUGCAUUCUGGACAAAAUAAACACUGGUAAUACAAUCUCCGCCAUGCUCUCCAUUGCAGGCGAAGCAUCCGCGACACAAAAGAAAGCCCUAAACUAUACGUUAACUUAAAAUGAGGGCCAAACAACAUGUGCAGAAUAUUGCGGUGCCUUCUAGACGUGCUUAAGUAUGAUGCAUGCAGGUUUAUUUUGCGAAAAUAACAAAAAAAAAGUAUUUUUCGGUAAAGACGAAUGUAUGUUUUCUGUACACAUAUAAAACUGUCAAGAAAUAUUAGCAUCUCCUAUUUGGGAAAAAAAACUAAAUCCAAUAUUAGAUAUACAGUGAUGUAAAGUUUGUUGUAAUGUAAGUAUUAUAAUAAGUUUGCUGUAUGUAGCCUCCGAUACUAUAUUUUGUUCCGCCACCGUGGUACAAGCAGGCAUAGGCCAAACAUAUGGUUUUCUUGAUAAGCAAACGAAAAAGGCAAAUGGAUUAUACAAAGAAGCUCGCGUUUUUUCUUCUCUUGCAUUUCUCAUCACUUGCAUAUUUAAUUUGAAAACGAAUAGUUAGACACCGCGUGUUGUGAAGUGAAUUAAACAAACAUAUGUGUACAAUGUACAUACACAUACACAUACAUAAAACCAAAUUAAUUACAUUGAAUAACAAAUAUGUAUUUUUUUUUAGAGGUAUAGAACUUUAAGUUGCAAUAAAACAACGAUGGAUUAUUCGAAAGAUAAUCUUGUGGCAUAACAUUUUAUAUAUGAUUUCUGGCAUAAGACCGCCAUGGCUGGCUCGGAUGUAGUCCAAUCUUUAUGGACCAGAGAAGGACACGCCGUGACUCAUCGAUCUCGAGUUUGCAACAACAACAAGAAACAAGAAAAAUUGUAAAGAGAACUGCGCGGCUGGCGUUGACUUUUGCACUAAAGGAAAAGCUUUUGGAUUUCUUUUGCAGUCGUGUUUCUUAGACGGAGGAGAGAUAUUUCUUUACAAAAACAAAUAUACAUUUUUGACCAAUUAAUAAACAAAUAUAAUUCUGCUCAAAAACUUUUUGUCAGUGAAUUUUCUCUGCUCGCACAUUCUGUGUGCCGCGUGGCUGCGACGCUGGGGGUUGUUGUGGAUUUUUUCUGGCCGACCUGCUACCCAAACCGUUAGAUCUCGUGCCUGUCUCUGCUUAAAAAUGUCCCUGUAAAUAAUGCGUUCUGUUGGUAUGCAUGCAACGGAUACCUUCUUUUUUCCCGCAACCGUAAAUGAUCAGGUUUGUUUUGAUAAACGCUCUUGAUACCUAAAAAUAUUUUACCUGGAAAACUGCGCAAAGGAAUUCAAUGGUUUUUAAAUUCGACCAAUCGUAUGUUUUUGACAAUAACGUUAAAAGGAAAUGUUUUUUUUAUUAAAAUGUCUAAGGUGUACCAUGUCGCUUUAGUUAUAUUAAAGUAAUCUAAAAUUAUUUACUGAUUGAUAUCUGAAAUUUUAUUUCAGAUAGACUGGAUAGCGGCCAGGUGAUUCGCAUAUAUUCGAUGAUGAUAAAGUUACUCCCAGAAUUUCUUUCCUUGAGAACUAGUUCUUCAGAUGUUAAAGCUGAGUCAACGACAAUCGAAGCUCUACCGCCACGUCGCACAGUGGGUCCAAUAGCUCUGCUAGCAGAAUUAAAUUAAUAACUUUAGUAAAUUAAUAGAUAUUUUAAUGAAACUUUGUACUAACAGUUUUUAAUUCAUUUUACGUAUAUUCUCCCAUACAAAUGUAAAACCAUAUUCAACAAUAUAAAUGUUCUCUUUUUUUUUUUAA